rnacentral:rRNA from 1 species
AAAAACAUAGCCCUAGAUAAAAUCUAAGGUGUGACCUGCCCAGUGGUUUAAAAUUUAUAAUAAAAAAAAUUAGAAAUAAAACUAAAAGGACGCGGUAACCUUGACCGUGAUAAUGUAGCGUAAUCACUCGCCAUUUAAUUGAUGGAUAGUAUGAAUGGUUGAACGAAUAUUCCACUGUCUUAAAGAAAAUUAUAAGAAAUUGAAAUAAUAGUCAAGAUGCUAUUUAAAACUGUAAGACGAAAAGACCCUAUAGAGCUUAACUAUACUCUUUUUACUAUAACUUAAAAAUAAUUUUUUGAUAUAGAAAGGGUGGUAGUUUAGUUGGGGCGACUGUCUUCUAAAUGAAACGAAGACAAGCAAUGUUAAUAAUGAACUUAUCGUAUAAUGAAUAUAUUUAACGAUUACAAAAGUGGGCUAUAUUGACCCGUUUCUUCUCAAAAAUAAAGAGAAACGAUUAAUUGAUAAAAGCUACCUUAGGGAUAACAGGAUAAUUUCAUUCUAGAGCUCGUAUCGAAAAUGAAGUUUGUCACCUCUAUGUUGAAUUAAGAUACCCCGGUAAUGCAGCAGUUACCAAAGGUAGGUCUGUUCGACCUUUAAAAUCUUACAUGAUUUGAGUUCAUUCCGUCGCAAGACA